rnacentral:lncRNA from 1 species
UUGCCUUGUAACCUAUAACAGUGGCCCAACGCAACAGUUUCAAAAAGCAACUUUUCAAAUUGUUGGAGGUGGAGGAGGGUUUGGCGGAGGAGGAGGAGCAGGUGGAGGUGGUGAUGCUGGAGGAGGGUUUGGUGGUGGUGAGUUUUGAGUGAGGAGAGAGAAAAAUAUAUAGAGAAGAAAAAAUAGAGAGAAAAUGUUCAGAGAAAUUCAGAGGAGCAGAAGAGAGAGAAAGAAAAAGUUAACUCCAUUAGUGAAUAUUUAACGGCAGGGACUGAUUUGAAACAUUUUUUAUAACUUAGGAACCAAAGGUUGACAUUUUAAAAAACGGGGACUAAACUGAACACCAGCUUAUAACUUAGGGACCAAAAAGGGGUUUAAACCUUUUUAUAAAGAUUAGUGUGCAUAAUGCAUGUGUAUUUACUUUUUUUUUUAUAAUAAUGAUUUCAAGGAGUAUUAGGAGGUCCUUCCCUUGCUAGAGUGGCCUUCUCAAUUUGUUGGAGAUGCAGUCAAUAUUCCCCUAUUAUGAUUCAUAUCAAGCCACAAUCAGUGGCAUUAUAUGAAGAACAUAUAACUACAUAAUACUCUGAAUUCAAAAGCAAAGGGAGAUACCAAGUUACCUACU